AGUCGUAACAAGGUCUCCGUAGGUGAACCUGCGGAGGGAUCAUUACACAAAUAUGAAGGCGGGCUGGAACCUCUCGGGGUUACAGCCUUGCUGAAUUAUUCACCCUUGUCUUUUGCGUACUUCUUGUUUCCUUGGUGGGUUCGCCCACCACUAGGACAAACAUAAACCUUUUGUAAUUGCAAUCAGCGUCAGUAACAAAUUAAUAAUUACAACUUUCAACAACGGAUCUCUUGGUUCUGGCAUCGAUGAAGAACGCAGCGAAAUGCGAUAAGUAGUGUGAAUUGCAGAAUUCAGUGAAUCAUCGAAUCUUUGAACGCACAUUGCGCCCUUUGGUAUUCCAAAGGGCAUGCCUGUUCGAGCGUCAUUUGUACCCUCAAGCUUUGCUUGGUGUUGGGCGUCUUGUCUCUAGCUUUGCUGGAGACUCGCCUUAAAGUAAUUGGCAGCCGGCCUACUGGUUUCGGAGCGCAGCACAAGUCGCACUCUCUAUCAGCAAAGGUCUAGCAUCCAUUAAGCCUUUUUUUUUCAACUUUUGACCUCGGAUCAGGUAGGGAUACCCGCUGAACUUA
rnacentral:rRNA from 1 species